GUAGGGAAUAUUGCGCAAUGGACGAAAGUCUGACGCAGCGACGCCGCGUGAGUGAUGAAGGCCUUAGGGUCGUAAAGCUCUGUUGAAUGGGAAGAAAAAAAUGACGGUACCAUUCGAGGAAGGACCGGCUAACUUCGUGCCAGCAGCCGCGGUAAUACGAGGGGUCCUAGCGUUGUUCGGAAUCAUUGGGCGUAAAGGGUGUGUAGGUGGCCAUGUAAGUCAGGUGUGAAAGCCCCGGGCUCAACCCGGGAAGUGCACUUGAGACUGCGUGGCUUGAGUACCGAAGAAGGUAGUGGAAUUCCAGGUGUAGUGGUGAAAUACGUAGAUAUCUGGAGGAACACCGGUGGCGAAGGCGGCUACCUGGUCGAGUACUGACACUGAGACACGAAAGCAUGGGGAUCAAACAGGAUUAGAUACCCUGGUAGUCC
rnacentral:rRNA from 1 species